AGUGGAAUUGCUGGGUAAUAUGUUGCUAAUGUUUAAUUUUUAAGAAAAUGCCAGUGUUUUCCAAAGUGGCUGUACCAUUUUACAUUCCCACCAGCAAU
rnacentral:pre_miRNA from 1 species